rnacentral:rRNA from 1 species
CAGUAGCCGCGGUAACACGGAGGGUGCAAGCGUUAAUCGGAAUUACUGGGCGUAAAGCGCACGCAGGCGGUCUGUCAAGUCGGAUGUGAAAUCCCCGGGCUCAACCUGGGAACUGCAUUCGAAACUGGCAGGCUAGAGUCUUGUAGAGGGGGGUAGAAUUCCAGGUGUAGCGGUGAAAUGCGUAGAGAUCUGGAGGAAUACCGGUGGCGAAGGCGGCCCCCUGGACAAAGACUGACGCUCAGGUGCGAAAGCGUGGGGAGCAAACAGGAUUAGAUACCCCUGUAGUCCCUGUCUCUUAUAC